rfam:Homo sapiens chromosome 19, GRCh38 reference primary assembly.
GUCGGGUGUGAUGGCUCACGCCUGUAAUCCCAGCACUGUGGGAGGCUGAGGUGGGUGGAUCACCUGAGGUCGGGAGUUCGAGACCAGCCUGACCAACAUGGUGAAACCCCGUCUCUA